rnacentral:lncRNA from 1 species
UUUGAUUCCACAAACAACAAGUAAUUAGAGGCUUGAUCCCAUGGGCUAAUCCUCACGAGGGAAAUAAGUCUCAAAACGAAAUAUUUAGUGGUUUGAUUCCACAAACUACUUAAAAAACUCCAAAGAACAGAUUUGACUCAACACAUGAAGUGUUGAAGCAAAACAAAGAGAUUUCUAUUAAUAAAAGCGUGAAUACAAAUGAAAGAGGGGAAGUGCUUACAAAGUUCUUGACAUUAAAAGAGACCUAAUGGUUACUAUAACACGAAAACAGAUAAGUAUCAAUCAACAUAAAUGAAAGGAACAUGAUCAUUGAUCGCCAUAGCUAAACUAGCUUAGCCGUUAGGCAUCAAUGUAGAAGUUUCUGGACUUGUGGCUACAACAAUGGAGAUUGUCCUUAGGUAAUCUGGUGAAAAUGGACGUCUGAGAUCUCCUGCAGAGUUUGGAGGGUCAGGAUCAGGCGUGGAAGAUCAAGUUUUGAGGUGAAGGACACGCACAUUGCCAGAUAUGGAAAAUUGUUUAGUAGCUUUGCCAAAACGACAAAACUCUGAAGUGAUCAUGUGGUUCUAGGCCUUUAGUAGCUUCAGUGGACUUCAGUAGAGAGACAAAGAUUUGAGUGAAGAGAGAAGAGAGAAAAGAUACAAAAGAAGGGAGAGAAGAGAUACAAAAGACGAUAUAGAAGAGAAUAUACAAGCAAGAGAAGAGAAAGAAUAUAUAACACAAAACAUCACUUCUAAAGAGUAAGGGUAAAGUUGGAAUAUUAAAAAGUGAAAGUACA